UGUGUGGAGUCUGCCACUCCAACCACAGAGGCUUCACACACUGACUCUGUAGGACUGAAGUCCUCUAAGGAGGCUGAAUUUGAGCUCAAAUGUAGGAUUCAGCAGGAGCAGAUUGAGAUGCUCCAGAAACAGCUCCUAGCAGCUCAAAAUCAGCUUGAAGAGCAGGCUGUUAAACAUAGGCAGGAGCAGGAGACACUCAACCUGGAAAUCAGUGACCUGAAAUCCCAGCUCUGCCCCAACAAGGCCCUUCAUGAUUUGAAGAGAGAAUCUCCUGAGCGAGAGCUGAAAGAGGCCAAAGAUUGCUCACUUAAAAUCCCACAGCAGCACAAAGAACAAAAUUCCACUGCUGCAAAUGAAAUGCAUAAAUGUGAGCCUCUGAAAGAAAACGAGACUGGAGAACAGGAGAAGAUGGAAAAAGAGGACUCACUGCCAUCCACUGCAAUGUCUCUGCAGGAGCCUCAGAAAGAAAAAGACACCACAGAACAACAGAAGAUCGAAAAAGAAGAGUCAGCUGCAUUUUCUGUACAGGGAUCUUUGCAAAGUCUACGAGACAAACAGAAAAUGCUCAAUGUCAAGGUGGCUGAACUCGAGAAUGAAGUUAAGAGCCUGCCAGAGAUUCCGCCAAGUAAGAAGAAGAAGAACAAGAAGAAGCGGAACUGUGUGCGUCCCCAAUUUCACAUAAUUGGUGUCAACAUCAAGUCCUAAAAAUCAUAUUUAUAUACAACUAAAUUGUCAGUGAACAUUUGAACCCCUCUUGGUCGAGACAGAAGGCCACCCCUUCCUGAGCCCGGUUCUGUCAGAGGUUUCUUCCCAUUAAGAGGGAGUUUUUCCUCUCCACUGUCGCAAAGUGCUUGCUCAUAGGGGAUUUGGGGGCUUUUUUUUUUUUUUUUUUUUUUUUUUUACACCAACCACUGGUAAGUUCACUGACAUCAAAUUUAAGACUCAGCAAAUAUGGAAAUGGAUCAUCCGUCAUCAAGUGAGGAAUCAUCCAUUUAAAACAUGUUUGCUGAGUCAUAUUUAGUUGUAUAUAAAUAUGAUUUCUGUCACACUCAGGCCAAUCACAGACUAAUUUGGACAAUUGGUAAAAAAUAAAUAAAUUGAAAAAAUUGAAAAAAAGUAGUUGUGUCAUUGUUUCGUGUAGAUUUCAAAUAACAUGCCAUUUUAUGUCAACAUAUUUCUGUUACAUUUGUAGUGCUCGUGGUUUUAUAUUCUUAUGAUCCUGUUUGUUUGAUGAGUAUAUCCUUCUUCCUUACUUCACAUAUUUACUGCUGCUUGGCUAGCUUUAGUCAUGCUAGCAUCAGCACGGGUAGAAACAGAUACACAUCAGAGACAUCACAUGUAGCUUGUGUUUAUGUUCAGAGUGACAUCUGAUUUAAAAGCAGGCAGCAAAGCACUGAGCAGCAUAUCAGUCAGCACAGAAAGCAAAUGCCAUAAAUGUCAUCAAUUAGGCUGGAAUAGUUUGUUGUUUGUCUUCUAUUGUAAGUGCUUUACAUUUCAGCAUGACAUCCUGUAUGUGUCCUACACUGAGGACACUUGAAACUGGUCAUUUUCUUAGAAUGGAGCUAAAGAUAAAAACAAAACAAAACAAAACUUUCAUAAGAAACCUUUAUUCUGCAGUAAGGGACAUUAAAAACCUAAUAAUGUUAUCAUUAAAAAUAUUAAAAUGUGAAGUAAAUGGUAAAUGGUAAAUGGCCUGUAUUUAUAUAGCGCUUUACUAGUCCCUAAGGACCCCAAAGCGCUUUACACAUCCAGUCAUCCACACAUUCACACACUGGUGAUGGCAAGCUACAUUGUAGCCACAGCCACCCUGGGGCGCACUGACAGAGAAGUAAUCAUAAUUUUUGCACAAAAUCAAAAUAAUCUGUUUAUGCAAUACCAGGUGCUGUAACCUUUUCCACUCUGUUAUGCUCAGUCACUGCAUCUUCAUGUAAGACACGUUUGUUUGUGUGAUCUUUAAAGCUGUUCUUCUAAAAAG
ensembl:lncRNA